CAGCACCCCGAGUGGUCGGGACGAUUAUUGGGCCUAAAGCAUCCGUAGCCGGUUUUACAAGUCCUCCGUUAAAUCCAGCUGCUUAACAGAUGGGCUGCGGAGGAUACUAUAAGACUAGGAGGCAGGAGAGGCAAGCGGUACUCAGUGGGUAGGGGUAAAAUCCGUUGAUCCAUUGAAGACCACCAGUGGCGAAGGCGGCUUGCCAGAAUGCGCUCGACGGUGAGGGAUGAAAGCUGGGGGAGCAAACCGGAUUAGAUACCCGGGUAGUCCCAGCUGUAAACGAUGCAGACUCGGUGAUGGACUAGCUUUAUGCUAGUCCAGUGCCGCAGGGAAGCCGUUAAGUCUGCCGCCUGGGUAGUACGGUCGCAAGACUG
rnacentral:rRNA from 4 species